UACAGAGGGUGCGAGCGUUAAUCGGAAUUACUGGGCGUAAAGAGUGUGUAGGCGGUGCUCUAAGUUCGGUGUGAAAUCUCCCGGCUUAACUGGGAGGGUGCGCCGGAAACUGGAGUGCUCGAGCGUGGGAGAGGAAAGCGGAAUUCCUGGUGUAGCGGUGAAAUGCGUAGAUAUCAGGAGGAACACCUGCGGUGUAGACGGCUUUCUGGACCAUUGCUGACGCUGAGACACGAAAGCGUGGGUAGCAAACAGG
rnacentral:rRNA from 1 species